GUCAUACGAUUGACCCAAAUUAAUAGAAAUACGGCGUAAAGAGUGUUAAAGAAUGACAUAAAAUAAAGUUAAAUCUUAAUUAAGCUGUAAAAAGCCAUAAUUAAAACUAAACUAGACCACGAAAGUGACUUUAAUCCAAUCUGACCACACGACAACUAAGACC
rnacentral:rRNA from 1 species